rnacentral:misc_RNA from 1 species
CAUAAAACAGAGGCUUGGAAUAUCUAAUGGUAGUAGGAGGAGCUAUCCAGUUCUUGGUGGGAGGCUUCAUUUUGUAAAGUUUGAGACAAGCAAGAUUAACGAGUGUUUAGACUUCAUCCAUUCGAAGCAGCUACAUCGUGGUGCUUGCAAAGAUUUACCUCAUUGGCAUUCAGACUCAGCAAAUGAAAAUGCCGUCAUUAAGGCUACAGGUGGAGGGGCAUACAAGUUUGCAG